UUUCACAUUGCAGUCAAUUUUGUCCAGUCGAGAUUUUUUUCAGAAACAAUCAAAUAAAUAAAUAAUUGAAAACAAUCAAUUGUCGAUUAAAUAGUUCGGAGUUAUCUCCUAGACUUGUGUAGAACUGAUUUUCCAUAAAACAAAUGGUUUGGAAACAACGCAACAUUUCAAAUCACCAAAGUUAAAUUUCCUAUAGGAAUAUUCUACAGAAAUAAGAGCAUCAGAUAGGGAGCGAUUCUAUAGUCAACUUCACAUCAGAAACCACUGUGCCAUUUCCAAUUAGAAAAUGUGAACGUGACUGAACCGGUGGGUAGCAGGGGUUUGCACAUCAUGGUGAUUCACGAACUUAACAUCUAAACAGAUAACACUGAAUCAACAAUUUGACGCCACAAUGCACGGUUCGAGGCCGCAUCUCUCCAUCCUCGGAUACGCCCCACGCUCGCCAAGUCGUUCUGCACCUGGUCUGCCCAUCUCGCUCGCUGCGCUCCACGCCGUCUCGUACCUGCCGGAUCGGAAGCGAACACCAUCUUUGCAGGGUUGCUGUCCGGCAUUCUUGCAACAUGUCCUGCCCAUCGUACCCUUCCGGCUUUAGCUACCUUCUGGAUACUGGGUUCGCCGUAGAGUUGGGCGAGCUCAUGGUUCAUUCUUCGCCGCCACACACCGUCUUCUUGCACACCGCCAAAGAUGGUCCUAAGCACCCGUCUCUCGAAUACUCCGAGUGCU